rnacentral:pre_miRNA from 13 species
CAGCAGGACCCAUGCUCGCCCACGAUGGGCGUCUUACCAGACACGGUUAGAUCUGGAUGCUUCUGUCUAAUACUGUCUGGUAAUGCCGUCCAUCCACGGCCUGGUCACCGCGGGAGCAG